UACGUAGGGUGCAAGCGUUAAUCGGAAUUACUGGGCGUAAAGCGUGCGCAGGCGGUUAUGCAAGACAGAUGUGAAAUCCCCGGGCCUAACCUGGGAACCGCAUUUGUGACUGCAUAGCUGGAGUACGGCAGAGGGGGAUGGAAUUCCGCGUGUAGCAGUGAAAUGCGUAGAUAUGCGGAGGAACACCGAUGGCGAAGGCAGUCCCCUGGGCCUGUACUGACGCUCAUGCACGAAAGCGUGGGGAGCAAACAGG
rnacentral:rRNA from 1 species